rnacentral:rRNA from 4 species
GCCUGAUGCAGCGACGCCGCGUGAGGGAUGACGGCCUUCGGGUUGUAAACCUCUUUCACCAGGGACGAAGCGCAAGUGACGGUACCUGGAGAAGAAGCACCGGCCAACUACGUGCCAGCAGCCGCGGUAAUACGUAGGGUGCGAGCGUUGUCCGGAAUUACUGGGCGUAAAGAGCUCGUAGGUGGUUUGUCGCGUUGUUCGUGAAAACUCACAGCUCAACUGUGGGCGUGCGGGCGAUACGGGCAGACUGGAGUACUGCAGGGGAGACUGGAAUUCCUGGUGUAGCGGUGGAAUGCGCAGAUAUCAGGAGGAACACCGGUGGCGAAGGCGGGUCUCUGGGCAGUAACUGACGCUGAGGAGCGAAAGCGUGGGGAGCGAACAGGAUUAGAUACCCUGGUAGUCCACGCCGUAAACGGUGGGUACUAGGUGUGGGUUUCCUUCCUUGGGAUCCGUGCCGUAGCUAACGCAUUAAGUACCCCGCCUGGGGAGUACGGCCGCAAGGCUAAAACUCAAAGAAAUUGACGGGGGCCCGCACAAGCGGCGGAGCAUGUGGAUUAAUUCGAUGCAACGCGAAGAACCUUACCUGGGUUUGACAUGCACAGGACGUGCCUAGAGAUAGGUAUUCCCUUGUGGCCUG